rnacentral:rRNA from 1 species
AAACUGGCCGCCAUGCCUAAUACAUGCAAGUCGAGCGGACAGAUGGGAGCUUGCUCCCUGAUGUUAGCGGCGGCACGGGUGAGUAACACGUGGGUAACCUGCCUGUAAGACUGGGAUAACUCCGGGAAACCGGGGCUAAUACCGGAUGGUUGUCUGAACCGCAUGGUUCAGACAUAAAAGGUGGCUUCGGCUACCACUUACAGAUGGACCCGCGGCGCAUUAGCUAGUUGGUGAGGUAACGGCUCACCAAGGCGACGAUGCGUAGCCGACCUGAGAGGGUGAUCGGCCACACUGGGACUGAGACACGGCCCAGACUCCUACGGGAGGCAGCAGUAGGGAAUCUUCCGCAAUGGACGAAAGUCUGACGGAGCAACGCCGCGUGAGUGAUGAAGGUUUUCGGAUCGUAAAGCUCUGUUGUUAGGGAAGAACAAGUGCCGUUCAAAUAGGGCGGCACCUUGACGGUACCUAACCAGAAAGCCACGGCUAACUACGUGCCAGCAGCCGCGGUAAUACGUAGGUGGCAAGCGUUGUCCGGAAUUAUUGGGCGUAAAGGGCUCGCAGGCGGUUUCUUAAGUCUGAUGUGAAAGCCCCCGGCUCAACCGGGGAGGGUCAUUGGAAACUGGGGAACUUGAGUGCAGAAGAGGAGAGUGGAAUUCCACGUGUAGCGGUGAAAUGCGUAGAGAUGUGGAGGAACACCAGUGGCGAAGGCGACUCUCUGGUCUGUAACUGACGCUGAGGAGCGAAAGCGUGGGGAGCGAACAGGAUUAGAUACCCUGGUAGUCCACGCCGUAAACGAUGAG